GCUGAGGGUGUGGCUCAGUGGUAGAGCCCCUACCUAGAAUCCCCCAGUGAGGGGCUGGGUUGUGAUUCAGUGAUAAUACAUUUACCAGGCAUACUUGCAGCCCUGGAUUCAAUCUUUAGUUCCUUAAAAAAAAAAAAAAUGGAGAACCUGUUCUAGUCUGAGAUUACAAACAUCAUCCAGUGCCCCAUGGAAACCAGAAGAAGGUGCCAGAUCCUUUGGAAUUGGAUGUGGACGCUGGUAAUUGAACCCAGGUCUUCUAUAAAGCAGCCCGUGCUCUUAAGUGCUGAGUCAUCUCUCCAGCUUCUGAAGUAUCAACUGAAAGGCCUAGGAGAUGGUCUCUGGGCAACUGGGGUGGCAUGAACUUGGGUUUCUUUAGAAGCAUCAAUGAUCUGGUGUCACUGUUGGUGACACAAUGUGGGAUGGCACUGCAGUCACAGAAUGGUGUUCUUCCUCCCCAGAGCUUCACAUGGGAGCACUCAUAUCUGACGAGGUCACAAUGAUGAAUAAACUCUGGGCAUCACGGUCUCUUGAGAAAUGGCAGGUUUGAAUGCUUGGUCUCAAGUUGGUGGUGCUGCUGUAGGAAGCUGUACAACCUUUAGGAGGUGGGGUCUAGCUGAAGGGAGGGGGACCACCAGGGGGUGGGACUUAAAGCUUUGCCCCACUUCCUG
rnacentral:lncRNA from 1 species